GUAGGUUGGCUCAGUGGUUAAAGCGUAGGUCUCGUAACCGAAAGGUUGCGGGAUCGAAUCCCGCUAGAGGCUGACA
rnacentral:tRNA from 1 species